CUGUCCAGGUUUUCCUCCACGAUUCGUCUGAUACCAGUUCACUACGGUAAAGCACGAAGACGGUUGAUGGACAUCGAGAGUCGUGUACCCAACCGAGCACCCACUUCGUGCUCAGUGUCUCUAAAGUGGAAGUAUCCUCCUAGAAGAUGCUCGUCGUCCUACGGUUUUACUACAAACCGUCUCCCCGUAUAUUCUCUGGUGUACUGAAGAACCAUAUCUUUGGUAACAUCCAGUGUAUCUCUGCGUACCGGCCAGUACCCGAGCACCGUGGGAGUAGGAGGAAGUGGCUGCUUUUAAGUGAAGGGGUGCGUGUCUUGCUCUACCCGUAGGUCGGAACACGUCAUGAUGACGGAGUUGAGAGGGGUUUAAGAAGGUACACUCCAGUUCUUCGAGGUACAGUUGAGAGGACGAUCUACGUCGGCCCGGGCUGAGACAAGUGUGUCAGGUGGUGGCAGGGAGUGGUUUAGUACUAGGAUCGGCCGCUCGCGUGAGGGCGCAGUUCUAGGUACCACCUAGGUGUCGUGCGCCUCGUCUCCGUGUUGCCGCUCGUCCACCCACCGGUCAUGCAGCUCGCUACCGCUGGUGGUGGCGGUGCCACCUACCAAAGACGACCUAAACCGGUGGUACCGUUGUAAUAGGAGAAGACGCUCACGGAGCACCCGUACAAACGGAGGUUGCUCGUCUCCUGCCGGUACUCUACUCCCGACGUCCGGGGGGGAGAGGGUCACCCUUAAAAACAACGUACAACUCCUACACUCUCCGACCAAACCACGAAACUAAGCCACCAGCGGUUAGAAGAGACACGAUUAAUCACCAAAAAGCCACGUUCAAACACGUACCCAAUCGCGAUUCAAAACAAAGCAUCAAAACAUGCUUAAAUGUCAAUCUCAAACACAAAUGAACAGAGUUUGAAGGAUAGUACAUAGUUACUUGUAUAAAACUUCUUGAAACUACCCACCUUUAGACAUACAUUAAAUCUAAAUAAGACUUCUUGAACAACAUAUAGUCACUCUUGGCAGCCACUUUUAUACUUCUUAAAGGAA
rnacentral:rRNA from 1 species